CACAGUUUCUAAAAUUUUAAUUUUUAAAUAAAAAUAAGGGAAAAUUACUUUGUAGUCCCUGAGGUUUAACGUAAUUAACACUUAUGUCCCUCUAUUUUGGCGACCCAACACUUAAGUCCCUCACUUUCUCUUCCGUCCAAAUUCGUAGUCCUUCCGUCCAUUUAAACCGUUUGGUCAAAGAGUCAAAGGUGAGAUGUGAUAAUUUUUUCCAAAAAUGCCCUUCUCUCCAUGUGAAAU
rnacentral:lncRNA from 1 species